rnacentral:lncRNA from 1 species
CCUGCUUCUUCAUUCAUCGCAAAAGUACACACAAAAUAAAAAAGUUGAAUUAAGAUAGAAUGAAGAGUCUGUGAAACAGAGAAGAACCUCUGCAAACAAUUUAACACAAAGACUGAUAACUUCUGAUUAAAAUUGGUUUGAUAGCAUAAGAGAAAGGCACAAGGGAUAGACAAAAAUAGCUCUAAGAUGAUUUUGGAAAAUGCAUAAUGAUACAGAACAUUUUUAGAUUUUAAGGAGGAUUUUUUGUGUAUUUCGAUUAUGUGUAACAACAGACAGG